rnacentral:pre_miRNA from 15 species
AGUGUGGGUCUUUCUCUCUCUGUGUCCUGCCAGUGGUUUUACCCUAUGGUAGGUUACGUCAUGCUGUUCUACCACAGGGUAGAACCACGGACAGGAUACCGGGGCACCCUCGGCGUCGAAGG